rnacentral:rRNA from 1 species
UACGGAGGGUGCGAGCGUUGUCCGGAAUCAUUGGGCGUAAAGGGCGCGUAGGUGGCCACUUCAAGCGUGCGGUGAAAGUCGGGGGCUCAACCCCUGAUCGGCCGUGCGAACUGGGGGGCUGGAGCACUGUAGAGGCAGGCGGAAUUCCGGGUGUAGCGGUGGAAUGCGCAGAUGUCAUUUGGAACGCCAAUGGUGAAAACAGGUCGCUGGGAGUGUGCUGACGCUGAGACACGAAAGCCAGGGGAGCAAACGGG